rnacentral:lncRNA from 1 species
UUGUACACACACACACACACACACACACACACACACACACACACACGCUCUGAUAUGGCUUUCCAUAGUGCGAGCUAUAUCUAUCUGUGCAUUCCGUGUGAGCCUGACAUCCUCAUUUGCACUUUCAUGUUCUCCACACCAUACAGGACGGCACGCAUAAAGGAAGGCAGCUCAGAGGAGCCGCUGUGUGUCUUGGACGGAGUCGUGUUUUCCAGUCCCAACAGCCCCCAGAUAACCACAUCAUGUGUGGCUUCGAGAGGAACCUCAUUUCUUUCAUCUUCCCCAUGUUCUGGGGAGGAACAGACACACUGGCACAUAUAUGGCACACAGACACCAUGACCAAGGGCAGCCUCUGCAGUCACAGAAGCUGACACAAGCUAACUGAAGCAGCUCCAAGCCCUGGGAUCAGUUUUCUCCAAGAACCUGGCUGGAGUAAGCCUGUGGCCUGUUCCGGGAUGAUGCAUACAGGAGAAUCCUUCAAAUGGAUUGGGGAAAUCACACAGGAUACACUCUUUAACAUGGAAUGUGUAGCUCAAGUGUGAGCAUUGCUUCUUGGAACCCAAUAUCAACCGCAGAAAUGGCUUAGAACACAGCAUAAAAGAAGUUUGUUUUUUUUUUUAAUUUAAUUUAAUAUAAAGUUGCCCUGGAAAGAUGGCUUCGCAGUUACAAGUAUUGCUGCUCUUUCAGAGGACCCAUGUCCAGUUCCUAGCACCCACAGGGUGGCGGCUCACAACUGUCCACAUACAUAACUUACAUAUAUCUGGAUAAAACACUUAGACAGAUAAAAUGAAAAUAAAAAAAUCUUUUAAAAUGUAAAGUUUAUAUUUAAUGUUUCAAGGCUCAAUUUUUAUCACUGAUCUAAGACAGCUGCUGGUGGAUGAUAUUAAUAAAAAAAGCAGCUGGGAAUUUAUUUAUUUAUUAUUUAUUUAUUUAUUUAUUUAUUUAUUUAUUUAUUUAUGUAUGUAAAAGACAAGCUCUCACUAUGUAGCAUGGGCUGGCCUCAAACUCACAGAGCUUCAACCUGCCUCUGUCUCCCUCGUGCUGAGAUUAAAGGUAGAUGCCACUAAG